rnacentral:rRNA from 1 species
GAUGAACGCUGGCGGCGUGCCUAAUACAUGCAAGUCGAGCGAACAGACGAGGAGCUUGCUCCUCUGACGUUAGCGGCGGACGGGUGAGUAACACGUGGAUAACCUACCUAUAAGACUGGGAUAACUUCGGGAAACCGGAGCUACUACCGGAUAAUAUAUUGAACCGCAUGGUUCAAUAGUGAAAGACGGUUUUGCUGUCACUUAUAGAUGGAUCCGCGCCGCAUUAGCUAGUUGGUAAGGUAACGGCUUACCAAGGCAACGAUGCGUAGCCGACCUGAGAGGGUGAUCGGCCACACUGGAACUGAGACACGGUCCAGACUCCUACGGGAGGCAGCAGUAGGGAAUCUUCCGCAAUGGGCGAAAGCCUGACGGAGCAACGCCGCGUGAGUGAUGAAGGUCUGCGGAUCGUAAAACUCUGUUAUUAGGGAAGAACAAAUGUGUAAGUAACUAUGCACGUCUGGACGGUACCUAAGCAGAAAGCCACGGCUAACUACGU